GAAGGCCUUAUCUUUAUGCA
rnacentral:snRNA from 1 species